CGUGCUUCAUGUGUAAAACUGUGGGAAUCAGGGUUUCCGGAACCACUAAUUGUCUCACUGUCUUCCAGCCCUGCGUAAAGUUAAUAUGCAACAAACCAGCUCCAUCUAGAAAUAGAUGAUUUCUCUUUGACAACCAAGUUCUGACUGUUCGGUUGGACGGCUGUUCUCGAUUUUCACUCAAGCGUAAUCGUGCAAUUACUUGGCUAAGAACUGGGUCGCUUGCUUGUGCCCGUUUCACUUCCUC